rnacentral:rRNA from 1 species
UACGAAGGGGGCUAGCGUUGCUCGGAAUUACUGGGCGUAAAGGGCGCGUAGGCGGAUAGUUUAGUCAGAGGUGAAAGCCCAGGGCUCAACCUUGGAAUUGCCUUCAAAACUGAUAGCCUAGAGUAUGAUAGAGGUAAGUGGAACUCCGAGUGUAGAGGUGAAAUUCGUAGAUAUUCGGAAGAACACCAGUGGCGAAGGCGGUUAGCUGGGCAGUUGCUGACACUGAGGCGCGACAGCGUGGGGAGCAAACAGG